UACGGAGGGUGCAAGCGUUAUCCGGAUUCACUGGGUUUAAAGGGUGCGUAGGUGGGGUGGUAAGUCAGUGGUGAAAUCCCCGAGCUUAACUUGGGAACUGCCAUUGAUACUAUCAGUCUUGAAUAUUGUGGAGGUUAGCGGAAUAUGUCAUGUAGCGGUGAAAUGCUUAGAUAUGACAUAGAACACCAAUUGCGAAGGCAGCUGGCUACGCAUAUAUUGACACUGAGGCACGAAAGCGUGGGGAUCAAACAGG
rnacentral:rRNA from 1 species